CUUUUUAUCCAAGGAUCGCAGAGGCUUUACAAAGGUUAAUUAAAGAGAGUUCUUGUCUCCGUGUGCGGCAAGGGAGCGAGGCAUCCAUUUUGGGUGUGGAGAAACAGAAGCAGAAUGGAGCGUAAUUACCUGGCUUUGCAUUUUAGCAGAAGGCUGUGGCGAAGCUGAGAAGUCCACAGGGACUUUGAUUCCCAGUCCUUUUGCUUAAACACAAAGCCUUCUCCCUCUCUGUUUUAAGGAUACAUCUUAACUUCUGAAAGGUCUGCAUCCCCUUACUUAGCUACAGCUUUACCUCUCUGUUCCUUAAUUAUAUGUUAAUGUCUCAGUCCUUUUGUUUAGCUAAUUUAAGAAGAGGGUGGGGGGCUCUUUACUGUGUCGGUUAGAAUUUAGCAUUAAUUUAGUGUUCUCUGACACUUGAAAACCUGGCCGGGAUUUGAGGCGUUUUCUUUUCCUUUUUGCCUUUUACGACCUGCAGGUGUUUGGUGUGAGAUAAAAGUAGAUCCCAAAGUGAGAUUUCGCAGCACAAAUUAUCAAAGUGAAGAUUCACUCUUGAUGUAGUCUACGUGUGUGGCAGUAAUUAUGAAAAAUAACUCAGGAUAAUAGGGCCUUCAGGAAUCCCAAGGCGGGCACUGAGAGGUUAACCCUUCCUCAUCUCACCUGGUCUCCGCACCACUGUCAUCAUCAGGUGAGCAGAUGAUGGGUUGAGUCAGGCACCUUCGUACACCGAGUGAUAAACAUUACAGUCUUCAAGAAAACGUGGGAGGCGACCAAGGAAAUGAAAUUCUGUUCCCAGGUGCUUUUGGAUGGGACUGUUUGGCCCUAGGUCAUACAGACCUUCAGGACGGUGUUACAGGUACGGGCUGCUCACCAGCUUUAAGGAUCGGUCACCUUUCAGAGAGCAAGUCUCCUCACUUCUCUGCUCUGUCGUGCCCUGGCAGCUGAGUGUUGCAGCCCAUGCCCAUCACCGUGCUGUUCACACCAAGGUGCUUUACAGGCAAUGUUUCUCCUAAAAGACAGAGCUUCCCAGCUUCCCGGACAGGCUUGUCCUGGACUCUUCCUUGGCAGAUGCACAGCUGGGGUUGAUGCAAGAAGGCUCUUGGCGACACGUCACGUGCUGCGUCUGCACGCGGUGGAGCAGAGGCUGGCUGUGUCCCCAGCCAGCAGCACCCCUGGGUGGCACUGAGCGGUGUCCCGCCAGCAGCUCCUAAAAGGCUUCUGUGACCAGGGCAGCAGGUGACCCUUGUGCUCUUUGAGGAAGGAGCAGCUCAUCUGGUCCCUUCUGCGGUCCACCUGAAGUGGAUGGCUCCCACCUUCCUGGCAGCCGUGGUGUGGAGCCAUGCAAAGGGGACACGAGCAGCAGCCAGCGGGCUUCCCACCACCGCGCUGUUCAAAGGAGCACAAAACCUUCUUUGCACCAGGUUUUGAUCUCGCUUUUGGGACAGUUUUUUGGCUCACGGGCAGGAAGGGGAGCGGAGUGCCAGGCUGAGCGGUCGUAUGGCUUCAAGUCCGCUGUCUGUCUCCCCCAUCAUCCACCAAGCUGAUGCAAUGUGUGCAGUCCUAGCAGUAGGCCUGUCCCCAAACAUCUGGAGCUGGGCAUCAUGGGGACUCACCAGUCUUUUACUGCCUCCAGUCUCCAAGGUUUUUAUGCAGAGCUAUGUUGCUCUUGCUGGCUUCUUUGCUGGCUUCUCUGCCCCACUUUCCCUCCUUUGGCUGCCUGGGAAGAGUGGUUUUCACCAUGCCCUGCCCAUCCUUUGGACUUUGCUGGUGGGACCUUCUUGUUUCAAGAGAACAGAAUUUUCCUUAUUAAACCCUUCAGGUCUGGGGAACACCGGUGUGUUCAGGAGGUGCUUUGCUGCCUCCACACUGCCCCAAAUCUGCAGUGAGGCCAGUGGUUGCUCUGGUCCUGCUGUGGUGCCUUAUUAAGGGCAGUGUCAGAUCCAGCCCCAGGUGGGUCUCGCAGAGGAAUCGCCUGCACUGGCAGCAAUGGUGGGACAACCGCACAGAGCAUGGUGUCACCCGCUGCCCUGCUACCGCUGGUCCCAGAACACCACAGUGGCCAUCACUGCCACCCUCCUGCAGUUCCCGUGGCCUUCGGUCACCUGUUUUAAAGGACUGAAGAUUGCGGUGUGCAAUCACGGCUGGGUCCACUGGCAUUACAGGUUGUCCACCAUGCCCCAUCCCAGCCCCCCUGCUGCCACAAGGCAAGCACAGGGCAUGAGGCCUUUCUCACCAGACAACCCACAGGAUUAGUUUGGGGACAUGGAAGUGUCCCCAUGGACGUGGGUCCAGCACUCAGCAAACCCCUGAGCAUCCCUGCAGCAGCCAUCCCAUCCCAUCCCAUCCCAUCCCAUCCCAUCCCAUCCCAUCCCAUCCCAUCCCAUCCCACCGAGGCUCGCUCGCUCUCAGCCGGGCAGCUGAUUUCUGGAUCCUGUUGGUUUUCACUGCAUCUCCCGGGAGCCAAGGUCCACAGCCGCGCCUGUGCCUCCCAGACGGGCCGGCAGACGAGAACUUCCUUCCAGGCCCUAUAGACAGACAUUUUAUAUACGUUAAAAUACGUGUGUAUAUAAAUACAGAAAGCAAGAGCUUGGGAGAGCUUGAGUCUAAAUAAACUUGUGUGUUUAAGGCUUUUAAAA